UGACAUAGGUCUCAAAGUACUAGCUGCCUGGCUUUGUCUGAUUUUGUUUUUUUAUUAGAGACAUGGAAGAAGUAUGCAGCAAAGGAAAAAAAGUUUUCCUUUGCCGAUAUAAACAAUAAAGUCCUUGUGACAGUCCUCAAACCAGUGCGGAUGGAAAACGACCCCUUCCCUACGUAUUUUCCUGGAAAAACUGCUGACUUUCUACCAGUUUUCCAGGAUUGCCCUUCCAAAUGACCUUUUUGUUUGUCAAAGAAACCACCGGCACAACAGCCUACCCAGCUGGCUGCAGACCAGGCUGGGAUGUUCGUAAGUAUCAGUAUCCUGCUAAUUUCUCUCCCAGCCUCGUCUCCUCCUCUCCUAUCUCUCUACAAGCAAAAGAAGAAUUAACAAAGCCCGGGGAAGGGAUUUGUUUGUUUGUGUCGCACAUCUGUGCCAGCGAUCAGACCUGUUAACCAUCCUUUCAAGCAAGCCCGCAGAAUGCCAGUUGUGACAGAUUUGAAGUAAUGUUGAUGGUGCCCUGGGACUUGAUAGAAGUAAUUUGAUAAAGUCAGCAGCAGCUUGCGGGGCGGAGACAGCAAAAGGAGAUAAACAACACUGUCAGAAGCUCGGCCCGUCAAUGCCCGAAAACACAAUAGGACCCCGCAACGAUCCAAUACCGGAACGCAAAUGUGACAACUAGAGCCGCUUUGCCAUGCUUGCACUAAAGGAAAUAUUUCAUUAUUAACGACACACGUCAAGAGACUGCAUGGUUUGUUGACCUGGGGACAAAAGUUAAGUGACAAAUUAAAAAAAAAAUCAAGGCAGAAAGCUGCUUGUCACAGGUGGGCUGACAUAUAUGCACAUGAUUAUAACUUUAUUUAAAAUACAGUACAUGUCCCAUGGGGUAAUAAACAGAUUUUAAAUGAGA